rnacentral:ncRNA from 1 species
CGAUGAUCCGCGAAAAACCUUACCACAGUUUGAAUAACAUUAAAUUGUUACAAGCGCUGCACGGCUGUCUUUAGUUAAUGUCGUGAGAUUUGGUUAACUCCUCUAAUUAACGAAAACCCUCACUUUAUUUGUAUAUAUAAAGUGGUUCGCCGCUAUAUUGGACCAGAUAAUAGGGAUUAAGACAAGUCAUCAUGGCCUAAAUACUGUGGGCUAUAGACGUGCCACAUACGCCUUAACAAAGGGAUGCUAUAUUGUGAAAUGGAGCUAAUCCCCAAAAUUGGAUAUAAUAUGGAUUGUAGUCUGUAACUCGACUACAUGAAUAAGGAAUUACUAGUAAUCGUGAAUCACCAUCGUCACGGUGAAUCUAAUCUCAGCUAGGUACUAACCACUCGUCAGGCGCUGAAAGGAGUAUGUGCAAUAAGUUUGAUUUGUCUAUAUGUUAAUAUAUACAAUUAGGUAUAUAAAUAUGUAGGUCUAAUUUUCGUAUGCAUGACUUUGAUUGGUGUUAAGUCGAAAUAUGGUUCGUGUAAUGGAAAUUGCACGGGAUGAAUUAACUUU